AGCACAGAGCCCAAUUCAGGACUCGAACUCACGAACAUGUGAGAUCAUGACCUGAGUUGGAAGUCGGAUGCCCAACCGACUGAGCCACCCAGGCCACCCAGGAUUCUUAUUCUUAAAUUUAAAUAUCGAGUAACAAAUUUGGAUGGCCCUUCAUAUUAACAUAUUGUCUUAAAUUAGGAAGAAAUGGCUUGAAGUUCGAAGUAAGCUUUAAUAGUAUCAUAGAAGUUACAUUUGGAGGUAGACUUCCAUUGCAUCAUAGAACUUUUUAAGACUUUAGGACACCAUUUAGUGUAAGUACAUUCAUUUGGAUCUUAGGAGAACUGAGGCCCAGAUAGCCCAGGCCAGGAAUCUUUUGGAAGGUCAUGGCAACCAGUUACUUUAGAGUCUAGACUACAGCCCUAGGUCUUUAGAUUUCCACAUUCCAACUAUCCCUUCCCCAUACACAACUGUUAAUUUUCUUAAAACUAAAACAAUACUAAUCACCCCACUUAGAAGAGCUUUGCAAAAUAUUGUUAGUGUUGAAUGCCUUAGCAUUGCAUUUUGCUAGUAGGUGUCACUCAGAUUUACUGAGCUGGAAGCCUAACUUAACAGAAUAAUGAGACAUAGGUAUCUAUGUGCCAUCACUGGACAGACGCUCAGAUUUACUGAGCUGGAAGCCUAACUUAACAGAAUAAUGAGACAUAGGUAUCUAUGUGCCAUCACUGGACAGACAUAUCCACAGAUCACACAUUUUACAUCUGAAAGAACAUAAGUAAUUCUCCUGUCCCCCACUUUUAAAUGAUAAGGGGCUAUUGACAACCCUCCACUGUCACUUGUAUCCAUGUGGUUUAAAAUAUAUACUGCUUAUUCAAAGAGUUGUUCAAGUUCAAUGCAGAAGAUAUAUUACACCGUGUAAUAUGCCUGCAUUUGUUCAUGCAUUCUUUUUGGAAACCUGAUCUUAUUUAUGUCUGCUUUUACCAGAUAGGCUAGGUUAAGUUAUGUUAAACAUGUUGUACUGAGACUUGAUUCACAGUGCUGCAGCCUGGCUUUCUUCCUUGAUUAGCUUUAAUCAAACUCUCCGCAUUCCAUGACCUUAAUAAAGCUAUUUUUCCUGACAACUGAAGACUGUCUUAACAAGCACAGUUCAUCUGUGCUGAAACUAAGGCUGAGUUAAGAUGGGGUUUAGGUGCUCAUUAAAGCCCAAAGAAUGGAGUAUAAGAGGAAAUGAUGAAAUGAUUCUCCCUGAAACAUCUCUUCUUUAAAUUUAAUUAGACAAAUUAUACGAAAACCAGUAGAUGCCCUGGGAAGGCAAUCAACAUUAGGGCUAAUAAAAAGCUUGAAUAGUAUGAAAGAGCCGGGGUGGGAGGUGCUGUAGUGCCUUUCUAACACUUAUGAGAGGUAAAUUAACACCAAUUGCUAAACACAGAAGCUAGAUGAAUUUCCACAUUGAUUUAAAAAUUAAUUUUAUGAUGCUGUUCUAUGUGAAAAAAUAUAACAAAAAUACUUUGAAGUUUGGCACGGAGGCACAUGCACAAGGUAUUUUAUGAAUACUUUGUAUAUAAAUUAUUCGUAUGCACUUUAUAUAUGAACUGUUUUGUACAGUGGAGAGGCAGUUAUGGUCUGACUUUGGAGUUUUGACACACCUGGGUCCAAAUUCUUACAAGUUCCCUCAUUAGCUCUGUGUGCGUGUGUAUGUGUGCGUAUGUGUACACGUGUGUGUAUGUACAAGUUUACUUCACUCUGUGAAACCCAAUUUCAUCAUCUAUAAAAUGAGAUAAUUCUUUUCCUGAACAGGCUUUAUAAGAAUUCAAUGAAAUUAAAUUGGAUUGUGUGUGUACAGAAGGCUUGGCACAAUACCUGGUGCAUAAUAGGUGCUCAAAAGUAGGUGUUUUAUAUUUAAGAGAAAUUUCCACUUAGUCAAGAGUGGUUUUAAGUGAACUAUCCUAUAAAUAUGUGAGAAUUAGGUUAUGAAUGUAAAUAUUCUACACAUAAUCUUAUGGAUCAAGAUCAUCUUAAGGGAAAAUGCUAGAGGACAGAAGCUUGUAGUUUUUGGACAGAAUGAUGACUCAAACAUACCUAAUGAAUUGUUUGGUGCCUACAGCUGCCAAGUGGAGAGACAUUUCAGAAGGUUGAAACAUUUAUUAAGCGCUGUGUGCUAAGCACCUUAUAUACCUAUUUGAAGACAACUCUGCAAGUUGAAAGAGGCUAAAUUAGAUGGAGUGAAGAUUAUGGCAAGAAAAACAAAGGAAAGAAACAUGAUUAUGGCAACUUUGCCCCUCAGAGAGCUGAAGACAAGAGCAUUUUUUCAUCUGUUUUUACUAAAACAAAAAUUAUUUUCAAAAUAACGGCCUGACACCUGCUCCCUUAGAAGGGGAGAAAACCUUUCUGGUCAGACUGAUUUGUGGAUGAAUCCUGAGCUCUCACUUUCUAAUGAAAGAAUUAGUCAUUUUAAACUUAUGGAGUCUCGGUUUCCUAAUCUGUGCAAUUGAAAUAAUUCUUAACUCAGUUACUCUGAGGAUCAAAUGAAAGAAAACAAUUUGCAGAGGACAAUCUGGAACCUGACCCGUGUAGCCCCUCUUGUUACGUUACUGAGACCAAGUAUCUUUGGAUACUGGUCAGGUUGAGCAUUUUCUGAGAGGGCUCUGUGGGGCUGGUUGGUUUUGCAGAGCAAGGAGGCCUGCUGUUGACUCUUGUAAUCCUGGAUGCUGCCAUUCACAGAGACCUUUUUCUUUUCCCUAAGAGAUUGCUGGGUAUCUUGUUUUUACGGACCAGAGAGUAAGGAAAGAAGUUAGGAUGCCUUUCCUGAAAGCUGGUCUGGGAAGUUAGUUGCUGAUACGAGUCAGCAUUCCCUAACUUGAGAUUUCCUAACACUGUUUCUCGGGCUUAAUUCUGAGUUGCUCAUGCCUGCCCUGGUGGCACUGUAAAUGAACGCAGACAGUUACUGGGAAGGGAUCUUGUCUUUGGUCCUGCCUUCAGGCACAGCUACAUCUACAUCACGGCAAACGGUUGUAUUCCCAUUCUUCUUUAAAAAGAGUAUGUAACCGGUUUAACUAUUAAGAAGUUCAUGCUAAUUUCUGACGUUGAUAAGCAUCAGGUCAAGCAUAUUUCCUACUGUUACCAUCUUCCACAGAGGUAUGAAAUUGCUUUUUAUACCUCUUAGGGAUUUUUACAAAGAAAUUUUGGUAUGGGUGAAUGGGUUGAAAUUUUCAGGAUGUUAAAAGAACUCAGUAAAAGAGUAGCUUUCCCUACAGCUCCAUGACCUGGUGGAAAUCCAGACAUUAGGUUCCACCAAACUUGAGGGAUGCCCAGUAAAUGAUGAUGGGAAUAUCCAGGGAGCUGGAAGCCUUGAGACUGCUCACUUAUCCGAAUCCUUACAUGACCCUGAGACCGCCAGGCGGAGGGGCUGCAAAGCAGAGAUAAGUGCUGGAAAUUGGCCAGUGUACUUUUUUUUUUUUUUUUUUUUAAGACAUAGCUCUCUCCUUUACACUUUUUUCUGUACCUCUGCCCUGAAGCCUACACAGCCUGUUACAUACUGAUAGCUAAGGAAAUGCAAUCAACAUUCCUUACUACUGCCUACAGAAAAGACCUAAAUUGUUUACUGGCCUCCAGGAUGUUGGUAAAUAUCUGGCUGUUCUUUUUGGAAAGGGGGGGGGGUGGGAAGCAUGAGGCAGUGCACGGUAUCUACAUUUAUAUUGUGAACAUACACAUGUUGUACCCUAGAAUAAGAAAGAAAUAAUUUACAGUACAUCUGCAUUGUUCCAAGGCCAGGGGAAGAUGAUCGUGUUCUCCGUGUAGGGCUCCCACCCCUCAAUGGCUUUACAUGUGUUCUGGAGGGGAAAACGUUAUUUAUAAAGUAGCCUGGGGUGUGGAGGAUCCAGUGGUAAGAGGUGUAGAACAUUUUCAGGCGUCUUUACUCUUGGAGUGUAGCAUGGGAAAGUUCAUUCCCAAAGACUGUACCUCUGGGUGUUCUGGUAGAGUUGGGGGAUGAAUCGGUAAGAAUGAAAUGAAAAUGGGAUGAAAAUCCGUUUACUCUUAAACACAGACAGGCUAGGAAUGGGGCAUCCUACUUUUGGAAUAGAAAUUUCAUUAUACAAAGGCAGGGUGGAGGAAACCUAAUUUGACAGAAGUUCAUGUGAAAACAACCAAAGAGUGUAAGUUGACCUCAAGAUUAAUCGAGGCCAGCAGUGUGACAUUGCCUUUUAAAAGGCGAAGGCCAUGUUGGGCUGUGGUCUGACCACAGCUGGAAUGUUUUUGCCCAGUUUUGGUACACAUGCUAAAAGGAAUGCCAGCAAAAUGGAGACCUGGGUGCUAAUGGAUCAGGAAAUCAUAUCAUAGGAGGGGCAGUUGAGAAAAACAUGGCUCUAAAGUCUGGAGCAGAGAUUCCUUAGAAUGACCUUAAGAAUGAGCUUAAAUAUUUAAGUGUCUGCUGGGACAUUCUCUUGUUCUCUUGUAGGAGUUAGGUUUUCCUCUGGAGCCUCAAACCCACACCUGACAUGAAAACACCUGAGACAAAAACCUGAGUUAACAUCUUGCACUGCCUGACCCAUUUUUCCCAACAAUCUGCUCAUCUUCCUGUGUUUCAAAAUGAGUGGCUGUCUCCAUUCUUCACCCUGUCAUCCAAACCAGAAAUCGGGCAUUAUCUUUCACUCAUCCCUUUCACGCAGGGAAAAUAAAGAUGUUGCAUUUAAAGUCAGCACCUCUGGACUGGGCUUCUGUUGCUCUCUAACAACUCAGUUGCUAAUAGCUUUUGAUAGGGAGGCAAACUGUUAAACUUGAUAAUUUCUAAAGAGUUUUGAGCUAUUUAGCACUAAGUGAUGCCAAAGAAAAAGAAUACUAGCGUUACUCACAGCAGAGGGAAUAAUUUAAUAUCCUUCUUGGGGGCCGAGGUUAAGUUCUGUGUGACUCAGCACAUUAUCAUCCUCUAUGACCCUAAAUCCCUUCUGUUUCCUGAUCUGCUUGUCUUGACCUGUUUCAUUUCCACACCAAAAUAGUUUCAUUAACACUAUGAUCAUGCACAGGAGAUAGUAGUUAACUGAUGUAAUUAACUGGUGUGUCAAAGGCUAUUGGUUUAUUGCAUAUGCAACUGUCUUUCCUGGUGGGAAGAUACACUUUCUGCUGACAUAAUAGGUCUGCAAACAUGCCAAAUUGCCAAAUAAUCUGCUGGGUGAUGGUGAGGUGUUUGUGGUGAUUCCACUUACAUAGGCAGAAUGGUGGGAUCUUUUACUGUGUUCUCCUAAAAUGCAACUGGCCAAAGGUGCUAAUUGCUCAACAGUUGAAACAGAAGAAGAGAAGGCAAUUUAGUUCUGGGCCUUGGUGAGGUUCUUUUCCUUUCCUUUCCUUUUUUUUUUUUUUUUUUUUAAAUCUGUGCUUUUGGCAUGCUAAUGAAUGCAUUUAGUCUCUGCAAGAAAUUUCCGUUUAAGAAAGAAUUUAAAAACACGAAGUGCUCAAUCCAUAUCUCCUAAACAACUAAAAAGACUGCAAUUUCAAAUGAGAAAUUAUGUUGCAAAGAUGAAAAAAGUUGUUUAUUAUGGCUCAAAAUUUUAAUCACCCAAGGGCUGUAAAGUUAAAAAUAGACAGUUCUGCCUUCUGUUUAUGGUAAACUUGGCUGAGUCCCGGCAAAUUUCAAAGCUGAACAUACUGUAUGUUAUUUUUGCUUAAUUUUAGAUUCCACAUUUUUAAAUUAUUUCUUACAAGAAGCAUAUUUCAGGAUAUAAACUUAGCCUGAAGAACAGUAUUCUUGAUUUCUGCCCAUAUUGAAACUCCUUUGAAAAUAGUAAACUAUGGUUUUGGGAUUUUCCUGUUCUCAAGAGUCCAAAUGGGUACCUUUCUAAGUCUUUUACAUUAUGAAUGAACACAGGAAUACAAAAUUGUAAAGGUUGCUUUCUGCUAUCCGGUUCCCAUACUUGUCAUUUUGGUUUUCUUAACAGUAGAACUUGAUGCAAACAUAUGGCAAUACACACUGGCUUGCACUCUAGGGAGGGGCAUUUUGUGUCGCCCUUCGUGUUUCAGGUUAAGGAGAUGGGAAGGCGCAGACGGAGACUCUCCUGGCCGAGACAAAGUGUCUGCCCCUGGGCCAAGAGCUUAAGAGAAAGCCUGGGAUAGAACCUUCCAGCUGUAGCCACCGGACAGUGUAGCUUCUCUUCUGACCCAUUCCCGCCUGCCAGCAGAACCGCCUGUGUGGUGACUGUUUGCCCCAAGAGCAAGUAGGAUUGUUGACUCAACCCUCUUCAUGCCUCCUCAGAGAGGAGAAACACCUGGCUUCACCUCUUUACAGAACUCUUGUUGAUUCUUGCCUCCGCGCUCUUGCAGAGAGCUCUUGUGGGCCUUUCCUCCCAGGGUUUUUAGAACAAGCCCUUUGGGUGGCAAGAAAUCUAGGGAAGGGAUCUUUCUUUUUUUUUUUUUUUCCUUAACCCAUUACUCCAUGUGGCAUCUGAGAAUCAAACAUGCCCCACAGAGUGACUGGCAUGCUCGGUAAAUAUUUGCGAAAUAUUGUCGAGUGAACAACCAUUUACUGAAGAUCAAGAUUCCUAUGAUGACCCUGACGGAGGUUUAUUUGCGAUUAAGGUAAUCGUAACUCCUGUUGAAGAAUUCUUACUGUGUGCUCCACCCGUAUCUGAACACUUGAUAUUUGUUGUUUUUAAUCUUCCCGAGAGCCCAUUUUAUAAAAGCGAAAACUAGGCUUUCCAGGGUUAGGAGCUUGCCCUGGGAUAUUCAGCUGUAUAGCAUUAGCCUUGGAGAUUCUGUGCUUAGUGAGUAUAGAAUUAACACUGAUUCCAUAUUCUUUCCAAUAUGCCACAUUACCAUGAUGGAGAAAGGCUGUGAAAGCAGUACCCAUACACUGAUACUAUGCCUCUGAACGGGCAAAGGAUAUGUCACAACAUUCACGAAAGUCUCAGGCCCUUAAUCAUGAGGUAGGUAAUCUCCCAGGUCCCAGCCAGAACCUCCUUACACUUAAUUUGCACACAACUUUAAUACAGUUGGUUAUCUGUUUUUCAAAUACACCGCAUAUCCAUUCAUUCAGUAAAUAUUUUCUGAAAACCUAUUAUGUGCCAAGUAUUCUUCUAGAGACGGCAAACAAAAAAGAAUCUUGCCCUUUAGAGAGAUUGCAUUACAGAUUUAUACAUUAGUGGCUCUCAAACUGUGGUCCUCAGAUCAGCAGUAGCAGCCUCACAUGGAGACUUGUCAGAAAUGCAAAUCCUUGGUCCCCAGUCCAGAAAUUUGGAGACUGAAGUUCAGCAAUCUGUUUUUAAACAAGCCCUCUAGGUGAUGCUGAUGUAUGCUACAGUUUGAAAAUCACUGUUCUAGAGGGCUUAGAACAACAUUUUUGUGUUCUUGAAGCAGGUAGCUCUGUAGAAAAUUUUGUUGCCAAAUUUAUCCUGUGUGUGUGUGUGUGUGUGUGUGUGUGUGUGUGUGUGUCUGUCUGUCAAGGUCUGACUUCAUGAUGGCAUUCAAUGAUGGGCGCUUGCUGGGCAGAGGCACUAGGGCACUUAUAUGUGAGAAUAUGGACCCUAGACUCCUACAUACAUGGAUUCAGGUUCUCACUCUGCCAAGCACUAGCCACACGAACUCGGGAGAAUUAUGAUAACUCUGUGAACUUUGGUUUUCUUGUGCAAAUGCAGGUAUUAGUAAAGGGACCAUACCUCAUGCUUGGUGCAGCUGCUCGGUACCAAAAAAAAAUGCUCAGUAAUUCAGUAUAAUUGUUUUUCUCUCUCUCGGAUGUAGCCCUGGGCUUGGCACAGGGUAGGUGCUCAGGGAAUGUUCUUUAGAAAGUGGAUGGAUAUUUAUUUUCCUUUGUGUUAGCCAUUAGCCUAAGACCUGCAGCUGUUUAAUUCCUACCCUUUGUCCAUCUUUAGCAGAAGUUACCAGAAUAAUGAGACCCAGCAUUAGAACAUACCUGACGCACACGUUCCCUUUGGAAAUGUGUGUUGACCUGCCUCAGUGUGGCCACUGCUGGUACUUAAUCCUCAUCUGUCUAAGUGAGGUUGCCUUCCCUCUGGCUGUUAACUUUGGGAUAUUUCAAAUGCCUAUAAAAUCUUAUUUAAUUAAGGCUCUUCCAUAUCUGCUUGUACAUAUUUUAUUCUUGAAAUGCUGGUGGCAUUAAUAGUAAAUCUAAGAGAAUCAAACCUCUGCCUCUUUUAUGCCAUUUCAGCAGUAAGCCAAGGAGAAGAACUCUCAAGGAAAUUAAUGCUUCCCUCAAGUACAGUAAGAACACGAAUCUAACAUAUUGCCAUAUAACCUGGUUUCACUGACUUUCUGAAGUUUUGUUUUGCCAUUUUUAUUACAUGUCACGUUGUAUGGCUAACACCAGAAGUACAAUUAUGAGGAGGCUGUUCUCUCAAAAUCUGCGGGGUCUGCCAGUCAGAUAACCCUUCAGAAGAAAGAGUAUCCACCAGAGAUUUGGUUGUUAUUCACAAACAGAUUAUUUUUUUUUUUAUUUUUAGACUUUCAUUAGUUCACUAAAUAUUAUUAGCAACUAUCGUGUGCCAAGCAUCGUUCCAGGUGCUGGCGAACGAAUGGGACAAAAAUACCUGCUCUCCAGGUGCUUGGUUACUUUCUUUUUCACCGGUGGGAGUGUGUUUGGAUGUCUGUGGCAUGGGGCGCCCUACCCAGAAGCUGGGUCUGGGGUGGAGGGCACGCGAUAGAGGUGCUCAGAUAUGAACUCCCUCACUGCUACAUGAUCACUCCCUUCCGGUCGUAGAAGCAAGCACCUGUUUUAGGUUUUAUGUGUAAAGUUUAACUCCUUCAGCAGUGACAACUGUCACUGUUUCUCUGCUCUGGCACGUCCUCGUGCCCUGGAUUUGUGAGGUGACGUUAGUGCUGAUUUAACUUGGCUCUUCUUCAUGUUACUGCAAACUCUGUUUUAGUUUCCUAUUGCUGCUAUAACAUGUUACCACAAGCUUAGUGGUUUAAAAGGACACAAGUUUAGGGGCACCUAGAUGGCUCAGUCGGUUAAGCAUCAGACUCCAGCUCAGGUCAUGAUCUCACAGUUCUUGAGCUCAAGUCCCGCAUGGGGUGAUCACAAGCCCCGUUUCAAGUGAUCACAAGCUCCAUUUCGGGUGAGCUCGAGCCCCACUUAGGGUGAGCCUUGCUUCUCUCUCUCCCUCUCUCUCUCUGCCCCUCACUUACUUGCCGCAAAGUGACUCAAAUUUAUUUUCUUCAGCUCGGAAGGUAGGAAGUCUAAAAACCAGGCUGGUGUCAGUAGGGCUGGUUGCUUCUGAAAGCUCCAGGGAAGAACCCUGAUGGCUCAUUCAGCUUCCAGAGGCCGGUUUGGCACUCCUUGGUGCAUAGCCGUAUCACUCCAGUCUCUGCGUCCUUCUCCCAGGUCUUUGAUCCUCCUGCCUCUCUCUUAUAAGUAACCUUGAGAUCACAUCAUUGGGCCUACCUGGAUAAUGCAGGAUAAUCUCUCCACUUUCCGGUCCUUAACUUGAUAACAUCUGCAGAGUCCCUUUUGCCAUAUUCACAGAUCUGGGAUUAGGACAUAGACAUCUCGGGUAGGUCGCCUCAUUAUUCAGCUAAGUCUACCCUGCCAGAGAUUCCAGUGUCCUUAGGCUCAUUGGCUGAUAGGCAGGAUUUUUUUUUAAGUAGUUUCUUCCAUUCUAGAAAACCCACCCCAACAGAGCACAGUCUGAAAUGCAAAUAUUGCUAACUUAGCAGAGUCACUUACACAUGCAUAACUACCAGAAAAUCUCCUUAAUGAUUCCUGUUUCUUCUACAAGACUGAGCUCAAAAGCCCUGCCCCCAGGAAGCCUUCCUGGGUUAUCUUGGGCUUGUGAGGUGUUCUUCAUGUGAGACUCUCUGGCCUUCUCUGCGCAAGUGACUACAAGACAGCACCUUUGCUGUUGUGAUUUUGUGGAUUUACUCGUCACCCCCCUGGCCCCCACAUCCCCCUCUUCCCCUGAAUAGUGUGCUCUUUACAGGAAGGGACUGCUUCUGCUAGGCACUAGAAGAUAUUUGGUAGAAGUUUCUGUAGCAAUGGAAGGAUUCUUUUCUCUCACACAUUUUUGAGAAACUGUGUGAGAUGAGUCUCACUUAAUUUCACUUGAUAAGGUAUUUUAGAAGUUGGGAGUGGAGUGUGGCCAGGUGGGUUCAGAAAGGACUGGCACCAUGUGGCUUUUCACGUGAUUUGGACACCUGACUGGGUGGUGAGUUAGUGACUCUUAUGGACAAUUCUUUUCAAGUGAAUAUAAUCCUGAAGCUGUGCACGCUUUUUCCCUCAGUGUCAUCAUAAAUCUACUACAAUUAGGUAGAUUCCUAAUAUUUGGAAAUAAUGAUAUAAAUCAGGGUGAAUGACUGAAUACUAAAAUAAAUUUUCAUUACCAAAGAACAUUCUGUGGCCUGAUAACUUUUAGGGUUACUCUAAUGGAAUCAGACCUCUGGUCAUUGAGAUAUUUUACUUUAUUUCAGUUUUUAAAAGUAGAAUCUUAUUACAUGGAGAAAUCUGUGAGUCCUGUGUGGUUACUGUUAGAAAUUCAUUUUGCCUCUUUUAUAAUGUUCAGGCUGAUUUUUUUUCUUCUUUGUAAGUAGACUUUGGGCUUUAUGUUGUUGGAAAGCAUGUAAUUUUCAUUUGUUUUUUUUCACCUAGUGGUGCUUAAUGAUACCAUGUGAAUUUUUAUGGUCCCAGCUGCACCGAAGUGUGUGCCCUGAAACUUCAGUUGGAUUAAGAGCCUACCUUGGUGUGAGGGCUGAAAUUGGAGAAAUGGGAGAACACAGGGUGCAUCUAUAUAUGUUGCAAUUAAUAUUGAUGAGUGGGCAAAAGUCCAAUGUUAUCCUAGGGGGUUCGCUAAUGUUCAUUGUAAACCAAUGCAAGUGAGUCCUUCCCCUGCAGGUGUGAAUAGUUUAAUUUAGUAGGUGGAUUAGGAAAAGCAAGGGGCAUUUUCUUAUGUUCCAGUUCAUGUUUCGUAUGUUGCACAUGAACCAGCCAUGUAACGUACAGCUCAUCGUUGAGUGGUGGCAACAAGUAUCCGAGACAUGGUUAACCCAUCUCAGUACCUCUGAGGUCUAGCAUCAUGCCUGGUACAUGGUAGGUGCUCAUUAGCAUUUGUGAAAUGAAUAGAAGAAUGAAUGAAAGAUUGCUAUUACAAGGUCUCUUAAAAAUACUGGCCCCUGCAGGGGCGCCUGGGUGGCGCAGUCGGUUAGGCGUCCGACUUCAGCCAGGUCAUGAUCUCGCGGUCCGUGAGUUCGAGCCCCGCGUCCGGCUCUGGGCUGAUGGCUCAGAGCCUGGAGCCUGUUUCCAAUUCUGUGUCUCCCUCUCUCUCUGCCCCUACCCCCUUCAUGCUCUGUCUCUCUCUGUCCCAAAAAUAAAUAAAUGUUGAAAAAAAAAAAUUAAAAAAAAAAUACUGGCCCCUGCCUACCCCUCAAGCCAUCUUGCCUUCCACCUUCUAGCCAUAAUAUACUAUUUGUAGCUUGUUCAAUGUUCUGCAUUCUUCUUCCUUUUGGACCUGUUUACUUUCUGUCUUCUCUCCUUCAAGCCCCUUCUCCCCCCACACCUCCAUCCCUUUGUCUGGCUGAUUCCUGUUGGUUCUUUGUGAUUUGGUGCCUUCCAGAAGACUUUCAGGAGGCAUCAUUGCUAGUAUCUGAUUGAAGGCCUGGUUGGUUUUUCAUCUCUCUCUGAACCUUUGAAUAACAGCAGCACGCUUCUGACUAGUGGACAUGUUGAAAUCUGUGUAUCUAUCUGAACCUUCUUUUCAGGAGAAUGUGGAUAAUUGUCAGAUGCUUGAGUCAUCUGGUUAUCCAUUCAUUAAAUGUUUACUUGUUUUGAGAGAGAGUGUGAGCGUGAGUGGGGGAGGGGCAGACAGAGGGAAUCCCAAGCAGGCUCCACGCUCAGCAUGGAACCUGGUGCGGUGCUCCAUCCCAUGUCUGAGAGAUCAUGACCUGAACUGAAAUCAAGAGUCGGACGCUCAACUUACUGAGCCACCCAGGCGACCCAGUACUUUGUGUCUAGCAAUGGGCAAAACAUGGCUCUAUAGUACCAGGAGCAGAAGUAGUCCAGUGAGGCAGCCAAUUCUCUCGCAUUUACAGAGCAUCAGCCUCAGGGUAAAAUGGGAUGAUGAAGGAGAACCACUGAUGUAUUACUUUUGGUGUGCCUGAUACCAAAGGGUCCAAAGGCAAAUAGAAGUUGGGAAAUUGAACCAUUUCCUUUCUAAUUCAAUUUAGGGAAGGUUGGUGCAUAGUAGGUGCUCGGUCAACAUUUCCUGAGGAUGAAAGGUUUUUAUUUUUUUGCUUUAUAAUAGGAUUAAAAAUUUUUUAGAUAGUCUCUUUCACUCCACACUCCUUUUUGCCCACAUAGCCCUAGCUUCAGUCUAUACUUAGUGCUUUUGCUAAGACUGACUCAUCUUGUUUCUGAUUGCUUUAGUGAUAUGAGACUCUGGUAUCCAUGGGAAUGGUAUAAGACUGUAUUGCUUUCAUGCUUGGAAAAACAUUAACCAGAAAGGCCAGCUAUUGGUACCAGUACCAAGUAACUCCUGAGAACUAUAGGGUAAUCUCACCCUUAAAUUCUUAAGACAGUGUGUAAAACAGUAUAAUCUGUUGGAAAACAAAUCAGUCUUUGUGACAAGAUAGGUGUGACUUAAAUCUCGUUUCUGCUGCCAGGCUGUGUGACUGUGGGCAGGUUAUUCACCCUCUCUGCGUUCCUUCAUCUGUUUUUUUUUCCAUUUGUAAAAUGAGGGAGCAAUAUUAACUCAGGACUGUUCGGUAAUUAGAAACGCUUUUGUAAGUGUCCUAGUUUAUAUCUGAUGCUCAGUAAAUGGUAAGUAUUAUGAUGAUGAAUAUUACUACUGUAAACCAUAUUAGAUAUAGGCCCUGGAGGGUUUCAACAAGGACAUGGUUACAGGUAGCUACCAAGAUCAGGGAAGGACAGCUGAAUUAGAUCUAAACAGACUCCAUUUGUCUGCAAAGGACCCUUGGUUUUUUUCUUUUUUCUUUUACCCCCUCUGGGAAGAAUUCACAUCGUUUUAAGAAGGGAACUGAGUGUCCUCCCUCUGUUCUGGGUGUUUCAGAGUUGACUAGAAAUUGAUCCUAGUUACUAAGGAAGAACUUAAAAAAAUACACGUUAGGAGUCAGGGUGGUGUAGAGGUAAGAGCACUGACCCAUGUUCCCAGGGGUCAAGGCUCUGCUCAGCUCCACAUUCUCUGCCAAGUCCCCUUCCAUCACUGUGCUGUACAUCCCCCCGCUGGGAGCACAUUGGAGCAGAAGAUUAUCUGGCCCUCUGGUUGGUUUUCUUCCCAAGGCAAGUCCUUCUUCCUGACUGGGAGUUAGGAUGGGUGGCCCUAGCUGGGCUGGUUUUAUUGUUCCAAAAAGUGUCAGCAGAGAAAUGGCCAGAUCUUGGAGUAUCCCUUGUGAUUUGACAUUUGGGGGCAUCCUUUUAUGUUCAAUGUACCUGGCCCAAAAGUCUUCCAGCUCAGAUAUUCUGUGAGUGGAAACUCUUUGAAUAAAUGUAAACCUAGAAGGGAUUUUCAGGGUAAAUUUAAAAAUUCUCCUGUGGUUCAGCUGUAACAACUCCUUCUCACAUGAAACUUCUUUGGGGGCAUUGGUAAUACUUGUAUUUGAAUGGGGAAUGAAUUUCCCAGCUUCCUGGGAACAACAACAACAAACAUUCCCCCAACAAACCCCAGGGUGUCUGACGCUCCCGCUUUCUUCUCAAAGAGCCGAUCGAAAACUCUUCUGUCAGCUCAAGAGCUAUCAGCAGUAUUGAACAAUUAGACUAGAAGGAACGGUGGUGAACAGUUGUCCCUAAAGGCUUGGAAAUUAACAAAGGCCAUAUUAGUAGGAGCAGGGAGGGAGGGGGGAUAUGAAGAGAAUGGGGGCUGGGAGGGACAAUUCACAAGUGGGGAGGGUGAUUUGGAGGGGUUUGUUUCCCAGAUAGUUUUCAAAGAAAAGAGAUUUGUGUAGUUUGCCAGGGGCUGAGAAUGAAGCGCAGGACCAGUUGAUGUUCUUUUUUAUCCAACAAUUACUUUUCUCUGGCACAUUCCUUUUAGGCUAACAAAGUGUCUUCCUUUUCUUUUUCAUGGUCAUUGAUAGCAAGAGCUUAAGGGAUCUUUGCUUCCCAGGGCUAAGGGUGUGGUGGAGAGAAGGACGCAAGUAAGAGGGAAAUGACAUUUUUCAGAUCAGAUUUUCUUGAAUUUUGUCACAAACAAGGGAAAGCCAUCCAAUGCCUACGGAGGGCUCAGGUUUUCAUUUUAGUCUGGGGGUGAUUGAUUUCUUUCUUUCAAGGGGCUGAUGGAGGAGGUCAGCGUCUUAGGGAAGAAGCCAGGGAAAAGGAGAAAAGAAAGAAUGAGAUUUAUGACCUUCUGGAUCCCAGCUUUUAUGUCGCGUAACCAUUCCCAAUACUGGAAGUUCAUGACACCCUGAGAACCAGCCCGGGAACCCGGAGCAGUGAUCUGCAUGCAAAGGAGGAAUUAAACAGUCCAGCAACUGCUUUGAUUGAGAGACACACAAGAUCCUGUCCUGGAUUCUGAGCCCUGCUUCGCUUUAGUUCAUCCUGUAGGCACAGAAUCCAGUGUUUCACGCACUGAUGAGACAGACCACCCAGGGCCACUCAUGUUAUACUGAGGGUGAUUGACGAUGGUGCUUAUAGAGGAAUUAUUUCAACAAUGGGACUUUUCCAUUAUUCUCUCUGCAGUCAGCCCUCCACGCUCAGUACAUGGAAAUCCUUGCAUCUUGUCACCGAAGAAUACUAAACUAGUAGGUGUCGCUCCCAUAGCCCCACCCUGGUCCCAUAACCCUGAGCUAAUAACUGAAGAUCUUAAAAAAUGUAUGUAUGGUCCAUUUUUAUUCCAUAUGGCCCCUUAGGUAACAUGACCCAAUGUGGCCAUUAAAUGACCCCGCUUACACUUGGAUUACUCGGUACAAAGCAAAUUUAUGGUUGUUUAUUCUCUCCUCCUAUCAGCUAUUAGUGCCUAAUCAUAUGGUCUAUCGAUCAUGAGAUUAAUCGCCUGCUCAAAGAGGCAGCAGGUCUCGUGGAAUGCUGCACUGCGCCAGACUGAACUUCAACCUUUUAUACAAACUGGAGGAGUCAAAAUCAUCAUUCACUGCCUGAAGCCCCUGGUCCCUGGGCCUCCUGAACCCCAGGGGGUAAAUCCCUGCUUUUUCACACAGUGUACUUUGCACUUCCUUUCCUUGUGUAAAACUUCACCUCAUUGAUUCAGGCAGGCACUUGCAAAUAAAAUCCUUUGCAAGGCAUCCUAUAAAUAAUGAUCUAAGCUGAAAAUAUGUGGGCUUUAUUAUACAAAGCCCCAUAGUGCUGCCAUAAUUAAGGUCUGUCAGUAUUUCUAUUACAGAUUCUCAUUUUGGAAGAUUUAUAACUGGGCCAUUAAAGUUUUCUUGGGCUAA